rnacentral:rRNA from 1 species
UGGAUAGAGGCUUUCGGCCAAUUGAAGUUGAGGACAGUGGCAACGGGUGAGUAACGCGUGAGGAACCUGCCUUUCAUGGGGGACAACAGUUGGAAACGACUGCUAAUACCGCAUGAUACUAUUGAGUGGCAUCACUUGAUAGUCAAAGAUUUAUUGCUGAAAGAUGGCCUCGCGUCUGAUUAGCUAGUUGGUGGGGGUUAACGGGCCCACCAAGGCGACGAUCAGUAGCCGGACUGAGAGGUUGACCGGCCACAUUGGGACUGAGAUACGGCCCAGACUCCUACGGGAGGCAGCAGUGGGGAAUAUUGGGCAAUGGGCGAAAGCCUGACCCAGCAACGCCGCGUGAAGGAAGAAGGCCUUCGGGUUGUAAACUUCUUUUACCAGGGACGAACACAAUGACGGUACCUGGAGAAAAAGCAACGGCUAACUACGUG